GCUCAGUUGGUAGAGCAUGGUGUUUGAAACGCCAGGGUUGUGGGUUCGAUUCCCAC
rnacentral:tRNA from 1 species